rnacentral:tRNA from 1 species
GAUAAGAUGCCUGAUUAAAGGAUUAUUUUGAUAGAAUAAAUUAUGUAAAUGUAAUUACUCUUAUUA